ACACCCAACCGUUUUGGGGAGGAGCAGAGGAGGGCGGUCGUUGCAGACAGAGAGAGAUUGCAGAGAGGGAGGGCGAUCGUUGCAGACAGAGAGAGAUUGCAGAGAGGGAGAGUGCGUUUCUCCAUCUUCCCCUCUUUUUAAAAAACCGACCGUUGAGCCUGUAAGUGGCUUACUGGGAAGUGACUUCUCACGCCCAUCGCCCUGCAAUUUUUUGGUUGAUUUGCCUGCAAGUGACUUACAGGUGAAUUUUCUCCCCCAAACACCACCUGUAAGUGACUUCCCUGUAAGUCACUUCCCACUUACCCAACUUACAGGCAUCCAAACAGGCCCUAAGAUUUUGAAAUUGGGGGGCAUUCAGGCUAGGGUUUUGAAAUUGGGAUCUUUUGCGUGGGGAAUUCGGGCUAGGGUUUUGAAAUUGGGAUCUUUUGUGUGGGGAAGUCGGGCUAGGUUUUUCAAAUUGGGAUCUUUUGUGUGGGGAAUUCGGGCCAGGGUUUUCAAAUAGGGACUUCUUCUUUUCAAAAAUUUCGAGCUGGUAUUUUUUUUUUUUUUUUUUUUUUCCGUAUUAUAAUUCGAAGGAUGCUAUUCUGGACUUAUGCAAAGCCAAAACAAUGGAAAAACUAAGUUUGGAUUUUGGUUCUCUUCUCUUGAAAUAGGAAAUCAAUUCAAGCUUGGCAGUGGGGAAAAGGUUACACAGAUUGGGCAGGAGAAGUUGGAUUUCUAUUUGUUUUUGUUUUUUAGAAGAAUCAAGAAUCCAUCAACCAGAAUUUUCAUAUUCAUAUCAGGAAAAAGAAGAAGAAGAAGAAGAGACUAAAUAAUUGGGUCUUGGAGUUGAGAUUUUUGAAGAAAUAAUCAAUGGGUAAGAACGAUUUCCUCACGCCAAAGGCAAUUGCCAACCGAAUCAAAGCAAAAGGUCUUCAGAAGCUGCGUUGGUAUUGCCAGAUGUGCCAAAAACAAUGCCGUGAUGAGAAUGGCUUCAAAUGCCACUGCAUGAGUGAGAGCCACCAGCGCCAGAUGCAGGUCUUUGGCCAGAACCCUAACCGCAUCAUCGACGGCUACUCGGAGGAGUUCGAGGCGAUGUUCCUUGAGCACAUGAAGCGGAGCCACCGUUUCAGUCGUGUUGCUGCCACCGUCGUCUACAAUGAGUACAUUGCAGACCGCCACCACAUCCACAUGAACUCAACACAAUGGGCUACGCUCACAGAAUUUGUCAAGUACUUGGGCCGCACCGGGAAGUGCAAGGUCGACGAGACACCGAAAGGGUGGUUCAUGACAUACAUUGACCACGACUCAGAGACUUUGUUCAAGGAACGACUCAAGAACAAACGGAUGAAGUCGGACAUCGUGGAGGAGGAGAGACAAGAGCAGGAGAUCAAGAAGCAGAUCGAGCUGGCUGAAAAAUUAAUGCCAGCAUCGAGAAAUGUAUCUGAUGAGAAAUCCGAGCCACUGCCUUUGCAAUCGGAGCCGAUUGGCAAGAUUGCUUUCUCACUUGGGUCGUCUUCGAAAUCGGUUUCCAUGGAGAAUUCUAAAAGCUCUAAACCAGUGUUUGAAGAAUUGGAAACUGAGGCUAAGGCAAACAAGAUUAAAAAUGGGGAUAACCGGAUAAAGGUUGGUGGUGUCUCAGCUUUGGAUGAUUUGAUGAAAGAGCAGGAAAUGGCGAAGGAGCGUAGCAACCGUAAAGAUUACUGGCUAUGCGAAGGAAUAGUUGUGAAAGUCAUGAGUAAAGGGUUGGCUGAGAAGGGGUAUUAUAAGCAGAAGGGGGUGGUUGUUAAGGUUAUCGACAAAUAUGUUGGAGAGAUUGAGAUGCUUGAUAGCAAGCAUGUGCUUAGGAUUGAUCAAGAAGAGCUGGAAACAGUGAUUCCACAGAUCGGGGGUCUUGUGAGGAUAGUGAAUGGAGCAUAUCGGGGGUCGAAUGCGAGGUUAUUGUCAGUGGACACUAACAACUUCUGUGCUAAGGUUCAAGUAGAGAAGGGUAUAUAUGACGGGCGAGUGCUUCAAGCAGUAGACUACGAGGAUAUUUGCAAGGUUAUGUAACAAGCUUGCUGAAAUGGUGGUUGUAGGUUUUCUGAUCAAGGCAGUUGGUUGAGGACAAUUUGAUUGGGUAUUUCUUUUAUCGACUUAUUUGUUGGUGGUGAUUUUCUAGCAAACACAAUAUGUUUGAUAUUCAACAUAAAAAAGGAUCCAGCACAGGGCUUAAUUAUUUCUCUUUUUAUCCACCCCAAUUCACAAUGAGACGAGUGGGUAGGUCUUGCUUUUAUUGCCCCUUUCAUUUCACCUGUGGACACAGUGCCCCAUCUUGUCCAACCUUGGAAGUGUGAACACCCAAAGAUGCCCUUAGAUGCUGUUUGGAUGUACCCUAAAUUGCAGUUGAAGUGUCCAUCCCAUGUGAAAUACAUAAGCAUCCAUUUUUCUGCA